CCAUGAGUCACCAGCAGAGUUGGAGGGACAUUCUGUGGUUAAAGCUCUUGCUGUGCAAGUGAGAGGACCAGAGUUCAGAUUCCCAGGCCCAGGUACGUCCCAUCCUGGGGAAGUAUGUAAGGAUGUCUGCCCUGUCCCCUUGAAACACAACAGAGGCACAGAGAGGACAAGGAGCCAGCCUGAGGACACCCAGUCCCUUCACAUUGGAAAACCUCAGCCCAGAGGCACAGAAGGCUGCCUGCCUCAGUCUCCCCGUUCCUGGAGCAUGAGAACAGGGCAGCCAGAGAGACGGGAGAGGAACAGACAGUCCUUGGGAGGAAGCAACACUUGUGAGCUGCAGAUUCAGGACCAGAAGGACAAUACUUGUCCACCACAGGAAGAGAAGAGCCCCAUGAGCACAAAGAGCCAAUCUGUUGGGGUCUCCAUCCCUCAAUCCCAUCAUUCCUACUGAUCCCCGCUAUGCUGUCCUUUCCAAGCCCAGGGCUCAGCUGGGUGAGCCAGUGGGUCUUCCUGAGGAUGGGGUGGGAGUUUCUAUGUAUUUCCCUGGGGCCUGAGUAGGACCAUGGACCUGGGGAUCCCUCUAAAAGUAAUAAUCAGCCCGGCAUGGUGGGCCAUGCCUCCGGUCCCAGCAGUAGAAAAGCGUAUGAGUUCUAACAAAUUUCAUAUGAACCAAGGCUACAUGAAACCCGGUGUCACAAAAACAAAAUUAUGGGCUGGCAAGAUGGCUUAGGGGGUAAAGGAGCUUGCUAUUCCAGCUGGACGGCCUGAGUUUCCUCUCUAGAACCCACAUAAAGGUGGAAGGAGAGAACAGCUCCACAAAGUUGUCCUCUGACCUCCACGUGCACGCCAUGGCAUGCACCACCCCGCAACAUAAACAAAUGCUCUAAAAAACAUACAAAAAUGCUGGGUGGUAGUGGUGCACGCCUUUAAUUCCAGCACUCAGGAGGCAGACAGGUGAAUUCAAGGCCGGCCUGGUCUACAGAGUGAAUUCCAGGACACCAGGGAUACAGUGAAACCCUGUCUCUAAAACUAACAAACAAAAAUAAAUAAAAAUUUAAAAAUUA